ACGAACGCUGGCGGCGUGCUUAACACAUGCAAGUCGAACGGAAAGGCCCUGCUUUUGUGGGGUGCUCGAGUGGCGAACGGGUGAGUAACACGUGAGUAACCUGCCCUUGACUUUGGGAUAACUUCAGGAAACUGGGGCUAAUACCGGAUAGGAGCUCCUGCUGCAUGGUGGGGGUUGGAAAGUUUCGGCGGUUGGGGAUGGACUCGCGGCUUGUCAGCUUGUUGGUGGGGUAGUGGCUUACCAAGGCUUUGACGGGUAGCCGGCCUGAGAGGGUGACCGGCCACAUUGGGACUGAGAUGCGGCCCAGACUCCUACGGGAGGCAGGAGUGGGGAAUAUUGCACAAUGGGCGGAAGCAUGAUGCAGCAACGCCGCGUGCGGGAUGACGGCCUUCGGGUUGUAAUCCGCUUUCGCCUGUGACGAAGCGUGAGUGACGGUAAUGGGUAAAGAAGCACCGGCUAACUACGUG
rnacentral:rRNA from 1 species